rnacentral:tRNA from 1 species
CCCCCCAUGGCUCAGUUGGUUAGAGCGCGCGGCUGUAGACCGUGAGGUCCCCGGCUCAAAUCCGGGUGGGGGGA